GACGAACGCUGGCGGCGUGCUUAACACAUGCAAGUCGAACGGCAAGGCCCUGCUUUUGUGGGGUGCUCGAGUGGCGAACGGGUGAGUAACACGUGAGUAACCUGCCCUUGUCUUUGGGGUAACUUCAGGAAACUGGGGCUACUACCGUAUAGCAGCUCCUGCUGCAUGGUGGGGGUUGGAAAGUCUCGGCGGGUGGGGAUGGACGCGCGGCUUAUCAGCUUGUUGGUGGGGUAGUGGCUUACCAAGGCUUUGACGGGUAGCCGGCUUGAGAGGGUGACCGGGCACAAUGGGACUGAGGGAGGGAGCAGAGUGCAACGGGGGGCAACAGUGGGGAGUAUUGCCCAGUGGGCGCGAGUGUGUGAAGGAGGCGCCGCGUGCGGGAUGCCGGCCUGCGGGUUGAGAACCGCUUUCGCCUGUGACGCAGCGGGAGUGACGGUAAUGAGUAAAGAAGCACCGGCUAACUACGUG
rnacentral:rRNA from 1 species